rnacentral:lncRNA from 1 species
CAUGCUGAUGACUCCAAAAUCUACACUUCCUGUCCCUCCCUCUUGAAAGCCAGAUCCACUUACCCCAACUUCCUGUGAGACAUAUGUGUUGUCACGAUCUAGAGGCACUCACAUUUACUUGCCCCAAACGGAACUCAUCACCCCCAGUAACCUAAACUUGCUAUUCCUCUUGUGUUCCCUUCUUUUGUGAAUGACUCCACCAUCUGCCCCUUUGCCCAAGCCAGAAACCUGAGAAUCAUGUUCUAUUUGUUCCUCUCCCUUAUCCUCCACAUUCAGUCUCUAAAUCCUAUUGAUUCUACCCCCUUUGGCUUGAUCCUUGUCCUGUACAUCCCCACUGACACCAUCUCCUUCACUUGUUUAUUGCUUCUGACUACUUGACAUCCCAUAAAGCUUGUCUCCCACCAAUUCAUGCUUUACUGUGCCACCAGGGAAAUCUUUCUAUAGUGUGCUGUAGUCAUGCUUACCAGUCUCCAGUGCCUACUCUUUGCUGAAAGUUAACAGCCAAGCUUCUAGGUAUGACAUGCAAAACCACUUAAAUUAAGUCUCCAACUAAAUUCUAGAAUAGGUCUCCUGCUGGCUCUCCUCUUAUCUCUGUUUUUGCUCCACCACCACCAUUCACAGUAGCACAAUGAUGAGCAAGGAAUAUUUUCAAUACAUAUCACUGGGUCACAUUCUCAAAAAAAGUAUGUUUUUCUUAGUUAUGCAGGACCUUCAUGUUUCUGGAUAAAGGGGAGAGUCCUUUAAGACAAUGUCUCUUAUGAUGAUGAUACUCUUAAGAGAGUCUUAAGACCUUUCCAAAAGUUUGCCACUCUGUGGAAGGCGUAGAGCUAUGCCUUCUGAAGGAGCCUGUUCCCAAGUGUGAAAGGAAGACCUGUUAUGUUUUCAACUUCAUCAUUUCCAGGGAAGAGGUUCCAGGGUUCCUCAGAGCCUGCAUCCGAUGGGAAGCCAGGGAACAAGGACCUGGGAAAGCACAGCUGGCAAGAUUGCAGCCCCUAACCCACGAAACAGCGUACAGAAGAGUAAAUGAGCUAAGACCAUACGAGCAAAGGACUCUAAAGCCUAG